UCAACAACAUAAACACGUGACUGUACGGCGCUGUCAGUGGCCGAAACUGUACCUGUUGUCACCUUUGCCACUUUCUUAUUACUGUGUGUUUUUGGUCCAACGUAAUAACACCAAAAUGGAUGAGAAGCAGGGACCAACUUCUGAUGAUGUCCCAACUGGGGAGGUAACGUCAACCACAGUUACAGAGGGUGAUGUUGUCAAGAUGCCAACAGAUGUGGCCAUCACUAUGGAUGCUAUUCCCAAUGAAGAUGAGGAGGACAAAUCCAAAGGUCUUGACCCACAAGAUAACCAUUCCACCAGCACCUCUGACGUACCGGUGACUGGCGCUGCC